rnacentral:rRNA from 1 species
CUGGCUCAGAACGAACGUUGGCGGCGUGGAUUAGGCAUGCAAGUCGAACGCGAAAGUUUCCUUCGGGGAGCGAGUAGAGUGGCGAACGGGUGAGUAAUGCGUAGAUGACCUACCCAGAUGAUCGGGACAACCACUCGAAAGGGUGGCUAAUACCGGAUGUGGUCGGAUUCCUGCGGGUUUCCUACGAAAGAUGGCCUCUGACUCAAGCUGUCGCAUUUGGAGGGGUUUACGUGCUAUUAGCUUGUUGGUGGGGUAACGGCCUACCAAGGCGAUGAUGGCUAGCCGGCCUGAGAGGGUGUCCGGCCACACUGGGACUGAGACACUGCCCAGACUCCUACGGGAGGCUGCAGUCGAGAAUCUUGCGCGAAAGCGUGAUGGAGCAACGCCGCGUGUGCGAUGAAGGCUUUCGGGUUGUAAAGCACUGUUGGAAGGGCGUAAUUGCCAUCGGUUAAUACCCGUGUGGUUUGAACUCCCUUCGGAGGAAGCACCGGCUAAAUUCGUGCCAGCAGCCGCGGUAAUACGAAUGGUGCAAACGUUGUUCGGAAUCACUGGGCAUAAAGAGCACGUAGGCGGUCCAGUCAGUCAGCUGUGAAAUCCCUCGGCUCAACCGAGGAACUGCAGCUGAUACUGCUGGACUAGAGUACGGGAGGGGAGAGCGGAAUUCCUGGUGGAGCGGUGAUAUGCGUAGAUAUCAGGAGGAACGCCGGAGGCGAAAGCGGCUCUCUGGUCCGUUACUGACGCUGAGGUGCGAAAGCUAGGGGAGCAAACAGGAUUAGAUACCCUGGUAGUCCUAGCUGUAAACGAUGGGCACUAAGUAGGGGGACUCCCAAGGUCUCCCUGCCGGAGCUAAUGUGUUAAGUGCCCCGCCUGGGAAGUACGGUCGCAAGGCUGAAACUCAAAGGAAUUGACGGGGGCUCACACAAGCGGUGGAGCAUGUUGUUUAAUUCGACGCAACGCGAAGAACCUUACCUGGGCUUGACAUUCAAGUGGUACCAAACCGAAAGGGGCGGGACCGUCUUUUGGCGGAGCUUGAACAGGUAUUGCAUGGCUGUCGUCAGCUCGUGUCGUGAGAUGUUGGGUUAAGUCCCGUAACGAGCGCAACCCUUGUCCUUAGUUGCCAGCGGAUCAUGCCGGGGACUCUAGGGAGACUGCCGGUGUUAAACCGGAGGAAGGCGGGGAUGACGUCAAGUCAUCAUGGUCCUUACGCCCAGGGCUACAAACGUGCUACAAUGGUCGGUACAAAGAGACGCUAGACCGCGAGGUCACGCAAAUCUCAAAAAGCCGGCCCCAGUUCGGAUUGGAGGCUGCAAUUCGCCUCCAUGAAGUCGGAAUCGCUAGUAAUCGCAGAUCAGCUACGCUGCGGUGAAUAUGUUCCUGAGCCUUGUACACACCGCCCGUCAAGCCACCCAAAUAGGCAGCACCCGAAGUCGCAG